rnacentral:rRNA from 1 species
GACGAACGCUGGCGGCGUGCCUAACACAUGCAAGUCGAACGGAGCACUUCGGUGCUUAGUGGCGAACGGGUGAGUAACGCGUGAGGAACCUGCCUUUCAGUGGGGGACAACAGUUGGAAACGACUGCUAAUACCGCAUAAUGUUAUUUGGGGGCAUCCCCGGAUAACCAAAGCUUUAUGUGCUGAAAGAUGGUCUCGCGUCUGAUUAGCUAGUUGGUGAGGUAACGGCUCACCAAGGCGACGAUCAGUAGCCGGUCUGAGAGGAUGAACGGCCACAUUGGGACUGAGAUACGGCCCAGACUCCUACGGGAGGCAGCAGUGGGGAAUAUUGGGCAAUGGGGGAAACCCUGACCCAGCAACGCCGCGUGAAGGAAGAAGGCCUUCGGGUUGUAAACUUCUUUACCUAGGGACGAAGAAAGUAGACGGUACCUGGAGAAAAAGACAACGGCUAACUACGUGCCAG